AUUGGUUUGGCAGUGAAAAGCACUUGUUUCUUGUGCAGAUGACCUGGGUUCAAUUCCCAGGACCUAUA
rnacentral:tRNA from 1 species